GUCCUUUAGAAAUUAGAAUUUAAGGUCUGACCUGCCCACUGAUAUUUUGAAUGGCCGCAGUAAUUUGACUGUGCAAAGGUAGCAUAAUCAUUAGUUUUUUAAUUAAAAGCUUGUAUGAAUGGUUGGACGAAAUAAAAUCUGUCUCUGAGUAAGUAUUAGAAAUUAAUUUUUAAGUUAAAAAGCUUAAAUUUUAUUAAAAGACGAGAAGACCCUAUAGAUCUUUAUAAUAUUUUUUAUAAUUUUAUUUCAGAUUUUUUUAUUAAUUAUAAAUACUAUUAUUUUAUUGGGGUAAUAAAAAGAUUAAAAUAAUUCUUUUUAAAAUUUAACAAAAAUAAUUGGUUAUAUGAUCCUUUUUUAUUGAUUAUAAGAUUAAGUUACCUUAGGGAUAACAGCGUAAUUUUUUUAGAGAGUUCAUAUCGAUAAAAAAGUUUGCGACCUCGAUGUUGGAUUAAAAAUUAUUUUGGGUGUAGAAGUUCAAAGUUUUGGUCUGUUCGACCAUUAGAUUUUUACAUGAUCUGAGUUCAGACCGGCGUAAGCCAGGUCGGUUUCUAUCUUUAUAAAAUUAUUAUAUUUUAGUACGAAAGGACCAAAUAUAGAAUAUAAUUAUAUUUAUUAUUUGAAUAA
rnacentral:rRNA from 1 species